rnacentral:rRNA from 1 species
UACAGAGGUGGCAAGCGUUGUUCGGAAUUACUGGGCGUAAAGGGCGCGUAGGUGGCCUUUUGAGUCAGACGUGAAAUCCCCCGGCUUAACCUGGGAACUGCGUCUGAUACUGGAAGGCUUGAGUUCGGGAGAGGGAUGUGGAAUUCCAGGUGUAGCGGUGAAAUGCGUAGAUAUCUGGAGGAACACCGGUGGCGAAGGCGGUUCUCUGGGCAUUACCUGACGCUGAGGAGCGAAAGUGUGGGGAGCGAACAGG